ACUUUCUCGAGAGCCCUGGAGAGCCGCUCUAGUGGCUUCGGGGCCUGAAACCCCGGGCUUGGCUUGUUUGAUGUUUAGCAUCCCAAAGCGGCUCCCCACCCCCGCCCCAGCCUGGGAACCCAGAGCUGUGGGCCAGGAAGGAAGGAAAGUAGCCCUCUCAGCUGGCGGGCCUUGGGCUGGGCUGGGCUGGGGGGAGGCGAGAAGAGCCGGCCUGAGAUGCCCUCCACAGGGGAGGGAGGGAUCCUGGGCUGCUGCCGCCACUAUACGGGCCCAGCUGGGAUCCGGGAGGCUGGGAGAACAGGGCAUGCCUUGGCCGCAGGGCCAAGGCUCGGAAUAGGGGCUGUAACCAGCGAAGUCCACGCCAGGCCGGGCCCACUCCCGAGAAACACUGGGGCACUUGGAGAUCGGCGAGGCCCGGCUCCUGCCCAGGUCCCCCCAGGAGGCAGGUUUCCCCGCUGGUUAGGGCUUGGCCCUUCAUAGGGAAAGACCUGCUAGGAGUCUUCGGAGGAAGUUUAGAUUCUCCUGGGCCGGGGCCAGGGAGGUCCAGUGGCAGUGCUCGAAUCCGGCCUCCUAGUCUCUCUCGGAAGAAAGCUCAGACUUUAGAGGCCGCGCGGGCUGGAGCGCGCUCUCCGCGUCCCGCCGCGGUGCGGGGCUCUCUCCAGGCGCCACCGCGCACAGGUAGCGGGAGUCUCUCCCCAGGCUCAGGCGAUCCGGGAGGAGAGGAAAUGCGAGCGAGGUGUUCUGACUUCCACCUCGUUAGGGGACCAGGUUCUCAUUCUUCAGGAUCAGGCAUAGAGUCUGUCUGAAUGGCUCCAAUUAUCAGGAUGCUAAAAUCUAAAUCAGAUUCUGCCACUUUGUCACUGAGAGUUGAGCCCUGGGCUUCCCACACGGUUGGCAAGUACUCUACUACUGAGCUUCACCCUCAUUCCUUUUUACUUUGAGACAAUAUCUCAUAAAUUGCACAUACUGACCUUAAACUUGUGAUCUUCCUGCUUCAGCCUCCCAGGUAGCUGGGAUUAUAAGUGUGCCUGGUUUAAAUUUUAAAAGAAAAGUCUUCCUUCCCAAACUUUGCGUUCUCUGAGGUGCUCAUAAGAGCACCUACAUUUAUUUGACUACAUUUAUUUAAGAUAAAGAAAAUUGCCUAAGGCUGGAAAAGGAGAUCUGGAUAGACGAAAGAAAUCUUUGGGACCAUUAGAUUUUUGACACCAUAUCUAUUGACCCACUACAUCAUGGAAAUGGUUUUGAGCAGAGCUAAGGAAAAGCACUACAAAGUUCUAAGAAGUGGAAUUCAUUGUAAAGAGGACAUAUGUAAGGCAUGGGAAUAAGCCAGGAGUGGUGGUGCAUGCCUGUAAUAUCAGCAUUCAGGAGGCUGAAGCAGGAAGAUCACAAGUCCAGCUGGGGCAAUUUAGUGAGACCUUGUCUCAAAAUUAACAAAUAAAAAGACUGAGGUUCAGUACAAACUCUGGUAUUGAAAAAAAGACAUGGGUGUGAUUUUUUUUUAUGGAUGUGAUUUUUAAAAGUUUAUUUUGUUUUUCAAGAUUUCUAUUGGCAAGACAGAGUGGCCACCUCAGAUUUUCCACAGUGACUUGGUAGUAAAGGCAUGAUUUGUCCACAUCUUGAGAUGGUCUGCUGUGGUUAUGAACAUGAACAAUGCGACAUUUUACUUUAAAGUUUAAACAAAGAUCUUUUUCUGGUUAUAAAUAGCAGGCUUUAGCUGCCUUGCCAUUAAAAAAAAAAAAAGGCUACUUGUCUCUUUUUUUUUUAGGGCGGUGGAAAUUAAAUCAAGAUCUUGUGUUUGCCAAGCAGGUACUAUGCUGCUGAGCCAAAUCCCCAGCCCCUGCUUUUCUUUAACAAGAAUGUGCUCCAUAAAUUUUGCAGAACUUUAGGUGACGUGAGGAAAGGUAUCGGAAUAGAGUUAGAUCUUGGGAAUUCUCUGGUCACUUCUGUGAACUUACAUUAGGACAUUUUGCAAGAAAGUAGUAGAGGAUAACUAAGUUAUGAGGAAAAGUUGAUGAUUUCCUGAUUAUAGAGGACAGAAUUAGGAGGUUGUUGAAGAGUGAUAAUCAUUGCACAAGUCACGCAAAGACAGAAAAGGCAGCUGAGAGAUGAGGGUUGCUUCACUUCCCUGGAUAUCUCUGCACGGAAUCCCCUCAGCCUCUGAUUGAGCUGCUGGCCGCUCCUCCUGUCAUUUAUGUUCAGGAGGCCCUGCCCAGGGGAGAAGCCCUGGCCCCUCCAGAAGCUGGGAACAUGGAGGCCGGUGAACAUGAGUGUGUGACUCCCAAUUUUUAAAAACCGUCCAUCUGCCACCAUCCACAAGUGUCACUGAAGUCCUCUCAAAUCUGUUCUGUAGAAAGCAUCUGAAAAAAAAUGGACUUUGAAAUAAACUUUCAGAUGUGACAAAGUGACCGUACAACUUAUCUAGCCCACAUCUAGUGCCAAUUUCGUUUUGGAAGCACGAGCGAAUCAUUAUUUUAUUUUUAUGAGAUUACCACCCAAAUGUGAACCCGUAAAGUGAGUUAUUGCCAGCAAUCAGGACCACUUGUCACACAACAUCAGCAAGAGGGACUCAGGUGAGAAACAACUCUGAUUAUAGUAUUUAGUCCAAAUGUACAUCAGUUGUAACUCCUUAAGUGUAUUUCUUUUAGCAGCUAAUUGAAAUAUUUUAUCAUCGAAAAGUCUUGACACAACAGUUAUACAAACAGGCGUAUGGGAACACAGGGAAAUUAAAUAAGACUUACAAUAUACACCUUAACAAAAUGAUGGCUUAAUUUGUACUCCCUUUGUAAUUUUAACUAAAUAUUGUGGUGAGUAGUUCUUACUUUAAAUACUAAGUAUAUGGGCAUUUAUUACACACAAUAUGAAAAUACUUCAGGAGGUUUGUGAUUAACUCCGUGGAAUUCAGGCAUAGUUUAUAGAGACUUUCAAUCAAAGACAAAGGCCCGAGCAGAUGAUGAAACACAUGAAAAAGAUGCAUGUACACAACUUAAUUCAAACUUGCUUAUAUUAGCUCAGUGCUAGUUCUUGGCUUGUCACUCAAGUUCCCAAACAAGUACCCUUACCCCAAACCUAGCUCAGGAUUCCCUGCAGAUUAGCCUCCAGGGCAGAUAGGGGCCAGAAAAAAUACAGGGUACCAAGUUAAAUCUAAAUUCAGAUAAACAAUAUAUGUCUUUAGUAUUAAUAUGUGCAAAUAGCACGUGCACCAUACUGUAUUACAAAAUAGUUGUUCAUUAGCAAUUCAAAUGUCAUUGAGUACCUUACUUAUUUAGUUUAUUGUAGUACUGGGGAUUAAACUCAUGGUGUUAUCACUAAGCUACAUCCCAAGCUCUUUUCCUAUUUUUCUUAAAUUUUGAAACAGGGUCUCACUAAUACAUUAAGUACAGGUUAGGUUCAAACUUGUGAUCUUCCUGCCUCAGCCUCACUGAAUGCUGGGAUUACAGAUGUGUGCACGUAUAUUCAACUGUACUUUUAGUUUUUCUAAAUCUAACCACCGUACUCCAGGGGUGCUGAAGCAUACCCACUCACCUCCUUUCCCUGUCCUCAGUGGCAGAACUUCACAUCUUUUAACCAUGCAGAUAUUUGUCCUUCUGCUUAUGUGCUUCAUGUCUGAAACACAACACCUUAUAGGUUUGAAAUCCUGAAUCCUGAAUUUGCAUCUAGUUCUGUGUUCUGAGUCUCCUAUUGGAUCCUUCUGGCUUUGGGAUGAAUGUGGUUUGUUCUCCCAGGGCUCAUGUGGUGGAGGCCUGCUCCUCAGUGGUAAAGUUGAGGGGGUGGGACCUUGCAAGGCAGUUGGAGUUCAUUAGGUCAUUGCAUAGCAUUAAGGUAGUUCUCUCAUGGACCCAAAGUUUGAUCUAGCCAGGGAGUUAUUAUAAGAGAAGCCCAGCUCUGAACCCCUAAAUUGCUGUGGCUUCUUUUGCCAGGAUAUGAUCUCUUCUUCCCAAAAGUGCUCCAACCAUUGUGGACCUAUCCAGCAUCAGCUGAUAGGACACCAGUGUCAUGCCCUUGAACUGUGAGCUAAAUAAACCCCUUUUAUUUGUAAAGUUGCCAGUCUUGGGUAUUUUGUUAUAGUAACAGAAAUGGAGUAACAUCUAGUCUUGCCCCCUUUUACUUAGGCUUGUUUUCUCCCAACCGAAGAUGUUCAUAUUUUCAAAGAAUUGCUAAACAUUAGUGAUUGGAGAGAAGUUGGCUGCCAGGUUACUAAUUGUAACACAGAAAAUUCUAAGACCUGUAUUCCUCUUUCUGUCUCCUAGAAUUUGAAUUCCAAUUUUGAUUUUUCAAAUGCUUAUUCUGAAGGUUCAGUGCUUAGCUUUAAAAAGGCACACAGUGGAAAAUGAGAUUGGAAGGUGCCCUAGCCAAGUUUGCCACCCCCGCUUUUCCCAGCUUGGUCUGUUGAAGCUUUGGAAAAGGUACCUACUCAAUAGUUUAGUUUCAAAUUAAACUUGGAUUUUCUAAGUCACACCAAAUGUCACCACGUCCAAAGACCAGUAACUAAAAAAUUGGAACGAUACUACAAUGAAAUAAACAAUGAACAGUUCAAACCUUGGCUUUGUGUGUGAGGUCCUAGGCAAAUUGUUUAGCCUUCAUGACCCUCAGUCUCCUUUUCUACAAAAUGGCACAGAAAAGUGACUGUCAAGGAAGAUACUAUGUGUAGAAAUAAUGUGUAAUUUUAAGCACAACCGAGACAUUUGCAGUGAUGUUGAUAAUGAUGAUCACAAUUGAGACAUAAACAUUACAUCACUUAUUAAUGAUAUAUUUUCAUUAGGACUUUUAAAUCUUUCUUACCUACUAGAUUCAUAUGAACUAUAUAACUAUAUGCAUAAGAUUACUGCUUCAUAUAGUUUGAGAAAAGAAAAAAAGGUACUGGAAAUAAACCCUAUUUCGUAUAUUUUAGGAAGCAGAUUCUAAAAGAUCUUGUGCUUAAAAAUGAAAUGUUUGGAGUAGAAUAUUUAUUUAUUUAGGAUGACACUGGAAAAUGGAUAGCAGUGAGGGACACAGAAAUAUUUUUAUUUUUUAUUUUUAUUUUAUUUUUGGAGCAAUACUGAAUGCCCAGGAGUAUUAGCAGAGUCUUCUAAACACAUUUAUCACUAUUAUUAUUUGCAUAACAGUUUGGAGUUUUCAUGCAUAGAAAAGGUUUUGAUGUGAUCUUUUGUGUAUCUAUUUGCUCACUAAUAAAAAAGAACAAAGAAAGAGGUUGGGCUGGAUAUCCUCUGGUUCUUUUUUAGCACUUGGGUCCUAUAUGACUGGAGAAGGGCACAGAAGCUCCCAGACCAGCUCUGGUGAAGGCAGGCACAAGGGUUGCUGGGUGCCAGCUCUAGCCAAAGAGUAUUUAUCCUUGUGCAGUUUUGCUUUGUUUAUUUUUCCAGUGCUGAGCUUUGAACCCAGGGCCUUGUACAUGCAAGGCAAACGCUCCUCCACCAAGUUAUAUUUCCAGUCCUUUUCUUUGUCUGUCUCUCUGUCUCUCUCUCUCUCUCUCUCUCUCUCUCUCUCUCUCUCUCUCUCUCUCUCCUCUUUCUUUCUGACAGGGUCUUGUUUAUUUGCUCAGGCUGGGCUCAAACUUGGUGGUCCGCAGCCUGCUAAGUAACUGGGAUCACAGGCAUACGCUACUGUGCCGUGCAGAUUUUACUUUUUUUUUUUUUUUUUCACUGUACAAGGUGUGAUUGAAAAAGAUGGUGAGUAGUUAAAAAUUUUAAAAAUUAUUAUAGUAAAAGUUGCACUGCCAUUAAUCCUAAAAAUAUUCACCCUUGUUUGGAACAUUCUUGACUUUUUUUUUUUUUUUUUUUGGCCUUUUAAUUUUAUUAGUACAUGUUUGAAAUUCAGGUGGUUUAGAAUCAUCUUGGGGAGUGGUUACAUGUGCAUAUUAAGCUUCUUUUAAAAAAAAUCCUCUUCAUCCUCCUCCAGUUCUCCAUCCCCUUUCUUCUAUCUAUUAUUUGUCUUAGCUCAUGUUAUGGCAUCUAACGUUUACAUAAUUGGAGCUGUUAGGUCUUUAUUCCUCUCACUCACCCCUCCCCUCUUCUUUACUCCCCACCCCUGUACCCUUGCACCAGUUCCAGUUGCUAGGUAUCUGCUCCCUUGUUCCUUUUCUAUCCAUCUUUUUUUUUUUAUCUUCUUUGUACUUUGCCUCACUCAAGAGAUACUGUAUGAUAUUUAAGCUCAUGUGUCUGUUUAUUUCACUCCACAUGUUUUCCAGGUGCCAUCAAUUUUCCACAAAUGUCUCAAAUGCGUCAUUCUUUAUAGCUGAGUAGUAUGGCACUAUAUAUAAAUGCCACAUUUUCUUUAGGCAAUUAUCUGUUGAUGGACAUACAGGCUGCUUUUAGGACUUAAUUAUGUUGCUAUAAAUAUUGCUAUAAACAUGUACCACUGUAGUAUGAUGACUUAGUUCUUUAGGGAAGGUAUAUCUAGCCAAAGAAUAACUGGAUCGUAUGGAAUUUCUAAUUCCAAUUUUUUGAGAGAUCUCCACACUGAUUUCUAUAGUGGUUGUACUAGUUUGUAUUCCCGUUAACAAUGCAGAAGGGCUCCUUUGUCACCACAGCCAUGCAAGCAUUGCUAUUGUUUGAUUUCAUAAUGGUUGCCAUUCUUUCUGGAGUAAGAUGGAUCAUAGCACUAUUUUCAUUUCCAUUUCUGUAAUAGCCAGAGAUGUUGAAAUUUCUUCCUCCAUGAAGUGCCUGUUAAUUUCUAUUGCCCAUUUCCUAACUGGGUCUUAAUUUGAGGUGCUUUACGUUUUUUGAGUUCUUUGUAUAUUCUAUAUACUAGUUCCCUGUCUGAGGAGUAGCUGGAAAAAAAUUUUCCCAUUCGGUAAGUUGUCUGUUCACUUUACUGACUGAUUCUUUUGCUGAAGCUUUUUAGUCUGAUAUAAUCCCUUUGUUGAUUCUUUCUGUUAUUUCUUAUGCAGAUGAUGUUCUAUUUAGAAAACCCUUUUCUACACUGAUAUCUUCAACGAUUUUACCUAUUUUAUCUUACAGUAGGUUUAAUAUUUCUGUUUCAAUUUUAUAUACUUGAUCAAUUUUUAAAAAAUUAAUUUUAUUAGAACAUUUAUAUGCACAUACCAACAUUCAUUAUAUAAAAUUCAUACCAUACAUGAUAUAUUAUGAUUCUUAUUUCCCCUUCCUCUUCUGUCCCUUCAAUCCUUCUUCCUUUCAUUUACAAAACAUGUUUUCAUUUUUCUUCUAUACUCUUUUUUCCCUUUUCCUUUCCUUCCCAUUUCUCCUUCCCAGCUCUAUUUCCCUUCCCAUUUGAAUAUUUUCUUUCUAUUUUACAAUUUCUAUUAUAUAUUUAAUCUUUAUUUACAAUUUUGGUUUCUCACCUAGAGAAACUAUGUGAUAUUUGAACAAGUGUGCCUGAUAUAGUACAUAAAAAGUAUGUUCUCAAGUUGCACCCAUUUACCUAGAAAUGUCUCAUCUAUCCUUCUUCAUGGCUGAAUAGUACUCCAUUGCAUAAAAACAUCACACCUUUAUCCAUUCAUUGGUUGAUGAACAUUUAGGCUCUUUUCAAGUUUUAGCUACUAUCAACUGUGCUGCUACAAACAUGAGUGUGCAUAUACGGCUGUGUGGUGAUGCUUUUAAUUCUUUUGGGAAGAUAUCAACAAAGGAUAUAUCUGGGUCAAAUGGAAUGUCUAGUUUUAAUUUUUUGAGGUAUUUCCACAAUGGUUGCACCAGUCUACACUCCCACCAACAGUGGAGAAGUGUUCCUUUUUCCCCGCAUCCCCACCAGUAUUUGUUAUUGGUUGAUGUCUUGAGACCAGUCAUUGUGGAGUGAGAUAGAAUAUUAGUGUUACAAUUUGCAUCUCUUGAAUGACCAAUGAUGAUGAACAUUUUUUCAUAUAUUUAUUUGCCAUUUCUACUUCUUCAAGUGAGAAGUGUCUUCAUCUCAGAUGCCUAUUUUUGGAUUAGCUUUUUAAAUUGAGGGAAUCUGAUGUUUUUAAGUUCUUUUUUCUAGAUAUGAGUCCUUCCUCUGAAGAACACUUGGCAAAAAUUUUCCCCACUCUGUAUGCUCUCUAUUCACUCUGUUGGUAAUUUCUUUUGCUGUGCAAAAGCUUUUUGAUAAAAUGAGAUCCCAGUUGUUGAUUCUUUGUGAUGCUUUCUGUGUGAUUGGAGUUUUGUUCAUGAAGUCUUUGCCUGCACCUGUCUUUAAGAGUUCUACCUCUUCUCUCUUCCAUAAGAAUUUAGCAUUUCUGUUUUAAUAUUUAGAUCUUUGAUCCAUUUUUAUUAUUAAGUUUAUUUGUGUAAUUUAGAUUUACUUAAUAAUCACAUUCACCAAAGGGAAUCUGGACCUGCACAUGCUAUACCUUAAUUUUGCUUUUUCCCCUCAUUCCCCUCCCCUUCCUAUGACCUCUCUUCCUCUCAUUAUUUGCAUAACUUUGUUUCCAUUUUAUCCUUCUUUUCUCAUUUUUUUCUUUGAUCCAGUUUGAUUUUACUUUAGUGCAUGCAAGAGAUAUGGGUCUGGUUUUAGCCUUUGGCAUGUGGGAAGAUAGUUUUUCCAGUAACAAUUAAAGAGUCUAUCUUUCUUCCAGUGAAUGUAUUUGGCCCCUUUGUUGAAGAUAAGCUGGCUGAGAAGCUGUUUGAAGUUGUUUCUGCAUCUUCUAUUCUGUUCCAUUGACCUUUGGGUCUAUUUUUUCCAGUACCAUACUGUUUUAUCACUGUAGCUUUGUAGUAUAAUUUCAAUCCAGGGAUUGUGAUUCCUCUGCCUUGCCUUUGUUGCUCAGCAUCACUUUUGUGAUCCUAGGUGUCUUCUGAUUCCAAAUGAAUUUUAAGAUUGUUUUCUUUAAUUCUGUGAGGUAUGAUAUUGACAUUUUGAUUGGGAUUUCAUUAAACCUGUCUAACAAUUUUGGAAGUAUGGCCAAUUUUCUAUAUUCGUUCAUCCUAUACAAGAAUAAGGGAUAUCUUCUUAUAUUCUGAUAUUCUCUUUGAUCUCCUUUUUCAGAGUACUGUUGUUUCCAAAAUAAAGAUAUUUUAUUUCCUUCAUUGGGUUGAUCUCCUACAUUAGGUUAUUAAAAACAUUUUAUUUUUUUGGAUGCUAUUGUGAAAUAUGUUGUUUCCCUAAUUUUUCUCUCAGUGGAUUUGUUAUUUGUGUACAGAAGUGCUAUUGAUGUUUGAGGGUUAACUUUGUAUCCACCUAUGCUACUAAAUUUGGUUAUUAAGUCUAGGAGUCUUUUCCUGGAAUUUUUAGGAUUUUAUAUGUAGAGUAUCAUGUAAUUUACAAAUAAUGAUAACUUCUUUCUUUCCUACCCACAUUUCUUUUAUUUCCUUUUCUUGUCUAAUUGCUCUCAUUAAUGUUCCAAGAAUUAUAUUGAAUAAGGGUGGUGAUGGUGUGUGCCCUUUUCUUGUUCUUGAUUUUACAGUGAAAGCUUUCAAUUUUUGACCAUUUAGUACAAUGUUAGAUGUUGAUUUGUCAUAAAUAGUUUUUAUCAGAUUGAAAUAAAGACCAUAUAUUCCAAUUUUCUUAUUUUUUAAAAAGCAUGAAUAUAUGUUGGAGUUUAUCAAAUAAUUUUCCUGCAUUUACUGAGGUGCUCAUAUGGUUUUUGUCUUUGGCUCUGUUAAUAGGGUGUAUUAUGUUUAUUGAUUUGCACAUAUCAAAUCAUCCCUGCAUCACUGGGAUGAAUCUUAUUUGCUCAUAGUAUAUAAUUUCCUUGAUGGUUUGCUAAAUUCUAUUUGCCAGUAUCUAAUAGAAAAUUUUUGAGUCUAUGUUAUUUAGGGAGAUUUGUGUGUAGCUUUAUUUUUUGGAUCAAUCUUUCUCUAGUUUUGGGAUCAGCACAAUACUUUAUUCCAGGAAUGAGUUUUGGAGUAUUGCUUCCACUUCAAUUUCAGUAAAGAGUUUGGGGAGUAGUAGAAUUAGACCUUUUCUAAAUGUCUUGUAGAAUUUAUCAGCAAAUCCAUCAGGAGCUUAGGUUUUCUUUGUUGGUAGAUUUUUAAUUACAUCUUCAUUUUUUGGGUGACAUUGGGUUUUAAGAAUCUUUAUAUCUUCCUGAUUCAGCUUGAGUAAUUCAUCUGUAUCUAGGAAUCUGCCUAUUUCUGUAUUUUCUUGAAGUAGUAUUAAUAAUCUUCCAGAUUUCUGCAGAACUUGUGGUAUUUUCACCCUUUUUAUUCCUUAAUUGCAUGGAUUUGAGUCUUUUCUGCCCUUUUUUGACAAGUUUGGCUAAUGGUUUGUCAACUGUAUUUAAUCUGUCAAAGGACAAAUACUUCAAUUCAUUGAUUUUUUGAAUUAUUUUUAAUCUCCAUUGCAUUAAUUUCUGCUCUGAUCUUUAUAAUUCCCUCCCUCAUAUGAGCUUUGGCCUUGACUUGCUUUUUUUCUUCUAGCAGCUUGGGUUCAAAAUUAGAUUAUUAUCUUGAGCUCAUUCUUUUUUUAAUGUAGGAAUUUACCACUAUAAAUUUCCCUUAAAAGGCAGUUUUCUCUGUGUCCCGUAAGUUCCUGUAUGUUGCAUCAGCAUUAUCAUUUAGUUGUAGAAGCUGUAUGAUUUCUUCUUUUAUUUGAUUUGUGACCUACUAGUUGUUUGGGAAGGUGUUACUGAAUUUUCAAGUGUGUAUAUAACUUUGUGAUUUCUUUUGCUGUUGAUUUCCAUUUUCACUGCAACUGUCAGAUAACAUGCAUGAGAUAAUUUCAAUUCCUUUGCAUUUACUUAAGCAUGUUCUACAAGCUAGCAUAUGGUUUAUUUUGGAAAGCAUCACAUAUGCAGUUGAAAAGAAUGUGUAUUCUGAUGUUGUAUAGUGGAAUACCUUGUAGACAUCUGUUAGGUUCAGUUGCUCAAAAUUUUGGUAAAUUCUGAUAUUUCUUUGUUGAUUUUUGUGUGUUUAUCUCUCUAUUUAUGACAGUGGGAUAUUGAGUUCCCCCAUUACAAUUCUAUUAUUGAUUUUUUAAUUUUUCAUGACCAUUAAUAUUUUAUAAAGUUGGGUGCACCGGUAUUUGCUGCAUAUAUAUUUAUGAUUUUUACCUUUUCCUCUUGGGUUGUUCUCUUACAAGGGUGUAGUGACAUUCUUUGUCACUCUUGAUCACUUCUAGCUUGAAAUGCACUUUGUCUGCAAAAAGAAUAGCUACUCCACCUUUUUUUCCAGAUUUCUGUCACGUGGAGUACGUUUUCCAUUCUUUGACUUUCAGUCUACUGAUUUCUGUUUGGUUCACAUGUGUACUUGUAUGCAGCAUAUUGUUGGAUCUUGUUUUUUACUGCAUUCUGCCAACCUGCUUCCUUCAGUUGGUGAAUUGAGACCACUUAUACUGAUGGUUACAACUGCUAUGUAUUGACUUAUCCUUGUCGUGCUAUUUACCUGUUGUUAUUGCUCUUAUUUCCCCUUUGCUUAAUUGCUUGCCUUGCCUGGUGGAUUCAUUCUGUUGGGCUUCACAGAGUUAUAAUCCUUGUUAUCUCUUUCUGGAAUAAUCUUUAGAACAUUUUGGAUUACUGAUUCGGUGUUCAUGAGUUUAUUCAAGUGUUCUUUGUUAUGGAAGAAUCUUAUAUCUCUAUCAACUUUGAAAGAUAGUUUUCAAGGUAUAUCAGUCUGGAUUGGAGAUUGUUUGCUUUUAGGGUUUGAAAUACUUUACUCCAAGUACUUCUUGACUGGAUGGUUUGUGUUGAGAAGUCUGCCAUGAUUGUCAUGGAUUUUCCUUUAUAAGUGGUUAGUUUCUUUUCUGUUAAAACUUGUUAAUACUCUGCUUUGUACUGAAUUUCUGGAAUCCUGUGUACAACAUGCUGUGGGGUAGAUUUUUUUUUUACCAUGGCUAAUUAGCAUUCAACGUACCUCACUUAUGUGUAUAUCAAAUUCUUUGCCCAUUCCUGGAAAAUUUCAGCCAUUCUUUCUGUGAACAGUCUUUUUAUGUCACAUGCUGUAGCUCAUGCUUUUUCCACUAACUCUGAUCAGUCUUAGGUAAUUCUUUGUAUCAUUAUCAGCUGUUUUAUUGAUUUUCCAUGGUCCUUCGCUAUUUUAAAGAAGUCUUUCUUUUCAUUAUUGAUAUUGAUAAUCCUGUCUUCUAGAUCCGAUAUUUUGUCCUCAUAUUAAUUCUGCUGUAUAUACUUUCAAUAGAAUUUUUAAUCUUCUGGAUAUCCGAUUGAUCUGUUUCAUGGAUCUCAUUUUUCUUCCUGUGUUGGGCAUUACGAUUUCUAUUAUUUUCAUAAGAUUUCUAUUUUUUUCCUCUUUAGCAUAUCUAGAGUCCGUAAUCAUGCCUUUUACUGUGGUCAUCAUUUCUGUAGCUCUCUGAGAAAUUGUUUAAGAUUUAUUUUUUUCUAGAGCCUUACUCAUCUGUUUUGUUACUUAGAGAAUACAGGUGAGUAGCUUUCAAACUGCCCCACCUCAUCACUCUCUGUGUUUGUAUUUGAUCAGCUGAAAGUAUAGAGUUUUAUUUUGCUUCUGUGUCUUAUUUUCUACUUUUUAAAAGUUUAAUUCUUAGGUUGAUACUUGCAAGUUGUUUAUAAUAGGUAUCUUUAUUGCUGGUAUAGAGACUCUCAGAAAAUAACUACUUCUCAGGGAUGUCUUCCAAGUGUAUCUGGCUUUUGUGUUUUAAACCUGUUGAGGCCCGGCUUCUUCACUUUAUUGGGAAAGGAAAAUUGUUGCCUGGUUAGCCUCGCCCCUAUUUAGUUCUUUGGCACCAGCCUAGCCUGUGUUAUUGUUUAUGAACCACAGAAAACCUCAGUCUUAGCAUACAAGAAAGAACAACUGAUUAGAACCAUUAUGUCACAUCAGUUAAAAUAGUGUGGUCAGUAAUAACAUAGGAUCAAACACACACUAGAAAAUGAUAAAUUGUGCUUAUUAUUAAUUUGCUACCUUAAUCUUAUGAACAGACUUUUAGUUAUACAACCAAAUCUAAAACAAACCAGAAAGUAUGUACAGUAAGUAUCCCCACAAUAUGUAAUCUUAUCUUCAGGGGAGAAAAUUUAAAAGAGGUAGGGGAAAGUAGAGAAAUAGAAAAAGCAAAAGGGGUUAGAAGCAUAGCUGAGGGACAAAGGAAGAUUAGGCAAGCUUUGAGAACUUGUGAAGAAUAAGGAAAGAAAGAAUGAAAAAAUGGAAACGAGAACAGAACUAAACAUAUAAAACACUAGAAACAAAUGUUCUCACUCGUAUUAAAACUAAUCAAGAAAAGGUGAAAAAAUAGAAAAAUUAAAAAUGUAAAGAUUUUAAAAAUUAAAUAAAAUAGCAAAAAAAAAAAAAAAAGAAGAAAAGCAGAAAAAAGUAUUUGCUUCAGGGCAUGUUUCUGCUGUCACUGGUAGACAGAAGGGGCAGACAGAGCCCAGAUCCAGGUUGAUUGCUCCCAGCAAGCCAGGGGUAGAAUUAUGGCAGUGGUGGAUAAGCCUAGCAUGCCUAGCUUUCACUUCCGCUGAAGUUCAAGCUUUUUCUGGUUUCUGAUUGUCAGGCUAGGAUCCCUGCAGGGGUCCAAGUUACUCCUCAGUUUUAACUCCAGUCCCUGCCCUAUGCUGGCUAUAACUUGGUUACACCUCACUCUGGAAUUUAGAGCCACUAGAUGGAGCCAACCCGCAGAUGCUCUGAGUUCUGACUUCUGCUGGCUCCUUCCCAAAAUGGCUACCUGCCAACUGUCCUCUUCUGGGAGAAGCAUCUGAAUACAAAUAACCCACCAGCUACUGAAGUCCAUAGCAUCCACUCAUCUGUUCCACUGGUGUCUUUCUCUGGGGGGGCCUCUGGAGUUAUCAGUAGUCACUAUGCCUCUGCAGACUAGAGCUGUCUCUCCUAUGCCACAAACUGGAGCUCAGGUUGAAAGUGACACUUGCCACCACCCUCCUCUGUGUUAUGGUACCUCUUUUUACUCUCUCUCUCUGGGCUCUAAUUCUCAGUCUAGAUCCUUGCAGGACCCUACGGAGACACUUCUUUCCUCUUUCUCUUCCUCAUGUUGCUGUAUUCCAGCAUCUGGAUUCCAAAUAUUGGAGUUGUUUUUCUGUUGCUCACCAUUCUGCCAUCUUCCUGAAAAUAUCUUUGUUUCAUUUUGAUUUUAAUUUAGUAUAUGGUGAGAGAUAAGGGUCUAGUUUCAUUGUUCUAUAAACAGAUAACCAGUUGUGCCAAUGCUACCUGUUGAAUAUGGCUACCUUUCCUCCAAAUGUGCCUUUGGACUGUUUAUCAAAGAUUAAAUAGUUGAAUGUAUUUAAGGAGGUUGCUGUACCCUCAGGUCUGUUCCAUAAUCCAUUUACUUAUUUCUGUUCCAGUAUCAUGCCAUUUUUAUUGCUAUUGCUUUGUAGUAUACAUUGAAGUCUGGUGUUGCUAUGCCAUCUGCUUUGCUCUUAUUGUUCAAAACUACUUUUACUAUUUUGAGUCUCGUGGUUUCAUAUGAAUUUUAGGAUUGUUUUCUCUAAGUCUGUAAAGUAUGCUGUUGAUAUUUUGACUGGGACUACACUGAAUCUGUGUAACAGUUUUAGAAGCAUGACCAUUUUGAUAAUGUUUGUUCUGCCUAUCCAGGAGGAAGGGAUAUCAUUCUAUUUUCUGAUGUCCUCUUCAAUCUCCUUCUUCAGAGUACUGUAUUUUUCUUCAUAGAGGCCUUUCACUUCCUUGGUUAGGUUAAUUCCUAUAUAUCUCAUUUUUAUUGAAGCAAAUGUGAAUCCUGUUGUAUUAAUAACUUACUUUUCAUUCCAUUCAUUGUUGAUGUACACAAAUGCUAGUGAUUUUUGUGUGUCAAUCUUGUACAUUGUUACUUAUUUGGUGAAGUUGGUUAUUAAUUCUAAAGGUUUUUUUUUGGUAGAGUUCUUUGAAUCUUCUGUGUAGAGUAUCAUACGACAAAUAAUAAUUUUAAUUCUACCUUCCCUCUAAAUAGCCUUUUCAUUUCUUUUUCUGGUGUAAUUGCUCUGGCUAAUAUUUCAAGUACCUUGUUGGGUAGAAGAGAUCAUAGUGAGCCUUAUUAUCUUGUUCCUGAAUUUAGGAAGGAAUGUUUUUAGUUUUUCACCACUUAGAAUAAUGUAUCAUAAAUACAUGGUUUUUUAAAGGAUCUUUAUAUGGAUGUUGGAUUUUGUUGAAAGCCUUUUCAGUAUCUAUUGAGAUGAUCAUGUGGUUCUCACCUUGUUCCUGUUUAAGUGAUGCAUUACAUUUAUUGACUUAUAUAUGUUGAACCAUCCUUGCACCCCUGGUAUAAAACUUACUUGAUCAUGAUGUAUCAUUUUUUUGAUAAUGUGCUGCAUUCUAUUUGCUAAUGUUUUUGAGAAUUUUUGCAUCUAUGUUCAGUAAAAAGAUUAACCUACAAAUCUCUUUUUCAGUGGAGUAUUUAUAUAGUUUUAGAACCAGGGUAAUCCUGGCUUCCACAGAUAAAUUUGGGAGCACUUCAUCCCUUUCAAUUUCUUUGAAGAGCUGUGAACUAUAUUUACAAUAUAGUUUAUAGUUACAAUCUAACACCCUUAAUUUUGCAAUGAAUCAUCAGGUCCUGGAUUUCUCUUAGUCAGUAGAUUCUAUUUAUUUAUUUAUUUGGUACUAGGGAUUGAACUCAUGACUUUGCGUUUGUCAAGCAGGUGUUUGUGCCACUGAGCUGAAUCCCCAGCCCUAUUUAUUUAUAUUUUAAACAGAAUAAAACCAAGCAAAAUAAAACAGAAUAAAGCCAAUCAAAACAAACCAUAUAAGUGACGCAGGACUGCAAAAUAAUAGGAAAUCAACAAUGGACACCAUAAUGCCUCCUUCCAUUUUCAAAAUAGCUGCAGAUACCUUUAGAAAUACAAAAUAAGAGAACAGAAUAGAACCAAUAAAAACAAAAUAACAAAUGCAAUACAGGACUUCAAAACAAGACAAUAGUAAAUUCAAAGUAGAUUUUUUAAUAACUGAGUUAAUGUCAUUGAUUGUUAAUGAGUUGUUAAACAUAUUCAUGUUUUUUUUGAGCUAUUUUUGGUGGUUUGUAUGGGUGUAGGAAUCUGUCUAUUUCUUCAAAAUUUACUAAUUUCUUGAAAUAUAAUUUUUCAAGAUAGUUACUGUCUUCUGGGUUUCAACACUGUUGUGAUUCACCCUUUUCACUUCCAAUUUGCAUUGAUGUGAGUCUUUUCUCUUUUGGGGAGUCUUGCUAAGGACUUACCUAUUUUACUUACUGGUAUGAAGAAUCAGGUCUUUGAUGCACUGAUUUUGAAAGUUUUUUUUAGUCUCAAUUUCGUUGAUUUAUGCUCUUAUCUUUAUAAUUUCCUUCCUUAAUUUUGGUUGAGGGCUGGUUUGUUGUUAUUUCUUAAGAUGGUAAAAUUUCUUAUAUUUCUAUAGAUUUCUAUAACUUCUUAAAAUUUAUUAUAAAAUUUUGGUUUGCUGUGUUUUCCUAAAUGUGACUGCUGACUGUGAUGGCUUUUCCUCUUAGAACUGCUUUCAUAGUGUCCCAGAAGUUUUGACAAGUUGUACCAUCAUUGUCAUUAACUUCCAGAAAUUUUAAAAUUUCUUCUGUGACCCAUGGGUUGUUAAUAUGAGUAUGUUGUUGAUUUUACAGAACUUUGCCUUUUCCAAAAUUUCUUCUGUCAUUGGUUUCUAUUUUCAUUGCACAGUGGUCUGACAAUACACAUGGGGUGAUUUCAGUUCAUCUAUAUAUACUUUAGUAGGCCUUGUGAACUACUAUGUGAUCUAUUUUGGGAAAAGUACAGUGUGCUGCUAAAAAGACUCUCCUCUGUUGGAGAGGAGUGGAAUAUUCUUUACAUAUCCAUUACUUCUAUAUAUUUGAGGAUGUGGUUUAGCUCUGAAAUUUCUUUACCAGUUUUUUGUUUAGUUGAUUUGUCACUUUGUGAAAGUGGGAUGUUAAAAUCCCCUACUAUGGUUGUGUUAAUGUUUACUCAGUCUUUUAGUUUCAGCAGUUUUUGUUUUAUGAAGCCAGUUGCCCCAGUAUUCAGUGCAUAUAUUUAUCAAUGUUAUCUCUUCCUGUCCUUUGUUCCUUUAACUAGUAUGUAAUGAUGUUCUUUGUCUCUUCUAAUUAGUUUUAACUGAAGUUUACCAUGUCUGAUAUUAGAAUUGCUAGCCCUGCUUGUUUUGGGGAUCCUGGGAAGUGAAAUGUUGCUUUCUAUCUUUUAGUUUUUAGUCUAUAAAUAUCUUUUUGGAUUAGAUGAGUUUCUUGGAUGCAGCUAACUGUUGGACUAUGUUUUUUGAUCCAGUUUGCCAGUCUGUCUUUUGAUUGAAGCUGUUAACAUUAAGAGAUAUUACUGAGAUGUGUUGGUUAUUUACCAUCACUGCCUUCUUUAUUAUGGUGUAUUGUUUUGCUUUUCUUAACGUUUUUUUGUUGCUGCUUAUCCACUGACCUCACUAGUUUCCUCUGUAUUUUUAGCUGUGUCCAAUUUGUUGUUUCUGUUGAGAAUUAUUGAAUAUUUUCACUUGAUCUAGUUUAAUACUCAGAUAUCUUCAGACCUUAUCUUUUUCAUGAAAAUAGCUUGUAUCUUCAUCCAUUUUGAAGUAUAGCUUUGCUGGUUAAUUUUGGUGGGAAGCUAUUUAUGGUUAGGGCUUGAGUCCUUCACUUCAAGCUCUUCUGGCCUUCAGAGUUUGUGCAGAGAAGUCUGCUAUGAUUCUAACUGCUUUAUAUGUGAUCUUUUGUUUUUCUCUGGAUGCCUUUGAAAUUUUGGAAUUUUUUGCUAUGUAUCUGUGAAUUUUAUAAGGAUAUGCCUUGGUGAAUUUCUUUUUGUGUUUCUUUUGUCAAUUUCGUAAUUGUUUUCUGUUCUGUAUGAACCACUUACAUUUUAAGCUCUUUUCUUGCAGUUGGGACAUUUUGUUUCAUAAAUUCUAUAAGCAUGUUAGUGAGUUCAUCUGUGCUAGCCUCUAGGUUUUCUCGAACUCAAUAGUUUUCUUGUCCUCUAGUAGCUGCUGGAUAUUCUUUUCUUUUCUUUCUAGCUUCUUUGAAUUUUAUCAUGAUUUAUUAUUUGGUCCUCAAUAUCAGACAUUUUGCCCUCAAUAUCAGAUAUUUUGUUUUCAUAUUGGUUAUUACUGUAAUGUAUGAAUUCUAUGCUUUUUUAUUUCAGGUAUUUCUGUCUGAUAUGUUUUCAAGGAUUCCACAUCCUUGUUGAAUUUGUUCUUCAAAUUUUGAACUGUUUUGGUUAGCUUGUCCAAUUUUUUACUUAUUUCCCUGAAGUUCACUGUGGAUGUAUUAAGUGUAAUUGCUGUACAUUUGUUAUUCAUUUCCUCUUUGAAAUUAUUUGCUUAAAUUAUCCCUUCUAAUAACAUUUCAUAGAUUUCUGUUACCUGAUUUGUUUUCUUUUCUCUUUGUGACCCCUUGCUCUGCCUUGGAGGAGUUCUCCUACUUAUAUCUGUAUAUAUUUUUGUGUAUAUAUAUGUACCACAAAAAUGUGAUACAAAUAUAUGGUACUUCAGGUUGAGACUAGUGACAUAAGGAGAGUUUGUGGCUAAUGUAGAGAUUUUCAGUAGGAUGUUACAUGGGAAUGAUGUUCAUGGGAAUGAAACAAUUUUCAGCUUUCUAUGCCCAGUGCUAGUAUGUACUCUUUUUAUUAUUUACUUUAAGUGAUUUCAACUCUGUCUUUAUUUUGAUGAAAGAAUUCCUUCUAUUUAUAACAUUAUUCACAGAUUAAAACUUAAACAACUACAUGAUAGCCCUUGCAAUUACUCUUCACCGUUUUGUCUAUUCUCUGUGCACACUAUGACUGCUUAUUAUUUGCUGUUGCUCUGCAGUGUGGUAGGUGAGGUGGGGGUGGGGAGAAUGGAUGGUGCUUGGGUGAGUAGUAUUAGGACUAAGGGAGAGGCUUGAAAGGGAGACAAGUGGUAAAUUAGAAUAAAAGAUUGAUGUGAUUUUAUUGAAGUAUUUUAGUUCAGUUGAAAGUUUAGUAUUCAGUGUUUUCAGAGGAUAUUUCACAGGGGCAAGGGUGUGAUAUGAGGGAAAAGAGGUUCACUUUGUGAUUGAGAAAAACUAUGUGAUUUCAGAACUUAUUUUUUUUCAGGACUUAUAAAGAGGACAAUAAUAAGCUAGUCAGGAUAUGGAAAAGUCAAAGGUUUAGGAUGAGGAGGACUGAGGGAUUAUACUAAUGAAGAUAAGUGACUGUCAAGGAGUUAAGAGCGGUCAAUUUAAAAACUUGGGAGGUAGAGUUUAUAUAUUUGAGAAAAUAAUAAAGAUGUAUGUUAAUAAUAUUGUCUCAGGGGUUUGAGGUAAAGAAACUAGAUAAAGAGCUGAGGGAAAGAACCUAGAAUCCUGUUAAGUCAGAGCCAAUGAAAGAAUAUACAAAAGUAGUCACCUAGUAUACAGAAGAACCCAUAAAAGAAUAUAACACAACCUUAUGUUACUAAAUAACUCAAGAAACAUAAAAAAAUUAAACUAAUAUGAUGUUCAGUGGGAACAGAAAUUAGAUAUUCCAAUGAGAGAGACCCUGCAUAUGUGAUUCCCGAUCAGCCUCUUUGCCCGAGAGCCUGAGUGCUCUCACCCCCAUUACUCCUCUGAUCCCUCCACUGCAAAAUCAAAGUUAAUUCAGACUCAGGACCCCUGGCUGCCAGGUUUCAGGGAUUCUUACAGAGUCUGAUCCAGUCUGAGUUCUUGGGUUAGGAUUGCUUGCUGUCCCUCUCUCUGGGUGUGAUGGUAGAUUCAGCAGACAAAUUCACCGGUACUGAAUUGUCCACUGAGUCAGGAUUAUUCCUAUGCAACCAGUUCAACUACAACACUCACAGGCUCAUCCAUUAUGGUGGUAUCUGUAAGAAGUAGUUGGGGAAAAAAACGUUCAUGAGGACCCUGUUUUUGGUCUCCCUUUACCGCUGGAAACAUAAUGCCAAUUGAGCCUUCAAUGCUGUGUAACCCAGGCUGAAACUGGCAUCUGACUGCUGGAACCAAGCUAGUGAUCACCAGUCCCUGUCUUUCGGUGAGAACUCCCACCCCAAAAAUCUGUUCUCCAAUUGCUGGCAGGCCCCUGUGGCUGUCCUUCCUUCAUCCACUGAGAACGUGGACAGUGUGAAGCAGCCAAGGGGCUGUUCUAGGACUGAGGUUCAAACACCCAGCCUUUCCUCACAAUGGCUCUUGCAUCAUGGGAUUGUGUCCCCUGGUGCUUGUACCAUGGUCGCUCACCAACUGUUAAUUUGGAGGACCACCAGGGAAGCAGCAUCUUGCAUCCUUCCCACUGUCACCAGCUGCGUAAGAUUCUGAUGGUCCUGAUCAGUUCUCCAUGAGUGGAAAAGUUAUUAGUUUCACUUUGCCUCUCAGCUUGUAGUUUCUCUUCUGUGGCAGGGGCAACCUCUUCUAUAACACUGAAUCAUAUUUUCUUCUCUUUCUGUUCCCUCAUGUUUCCUGUGUACCCUGCCCUCUUCGAGCCACUGACCCUCCAGAGUCCAGAUGCUUUGUCCUGCAGAAGCCACAUGCUGGCACUCACUGCUCACCACCUCGUCUCUCCUUCUUGCCAUUUUGAAGCCGUUCUGGAAGUCUGCUUUCACAAGCGUCUGCACUGUCACGGUUGUGAUGUUCUGAAUUGAUUCAAAACUUUACCUCUCAUGGUUAUUUUGCUUUUGGGAAAGAGUCAAAGAUCUCAUAGCGCCAGAUAAGGCGAAUAAGGUUGCUCAGGACACAUUGUGAUGCUUUAACAAGCCUGUCUUUCCGUUGGAUGACACUUGGCAAGAGCAUUGAUCAAAUCUUUGAUCAUAUCUCAGAAAGACAUGAGAGGAAAUUUCCAGAACUGCUCCAGAGAGUGGUGAGAAUGAUGGGAUGAAUGCACUGGGGGAGGUAUUUUGAGGGAGAUUAAUAGCAGUGUAUCUUCUACUGUAAUAUUUUUUUAAAAAACUUAAACCUGUAUUGUAUAUUUUUAUUACACCUCAUACAGCUAAUAUAUAUGUGUUAUAGAAAACAAGAGAGAAUGGAUACGUAAAGAUGAAAACAAAAUAAUCAUCCUGACUCCACCCUCUAGAACUUUGUAAUGGAAGAGAUAUCCAUUUGUGCUAUUUUAUAUCCCCAUGUACAGUCUCUGAAAGAGCAGUUUACCUUACUCUGUCAAAAUCCUCCAAAGGGUCCCAUGUUGGUACCAUAAUAGAGGUAUCACAUAGCAAAUGCAUUUUAAGCAGUGAUUCCAGUAAUACAAUUUGUAACAGCCAGAUCUUGGAAGCAACAUAAAUGUCCAUCAUCUGAGGAAUGAAUAAAAAAGAUAUGGUACUUUUGUACAGUGGAGUACUACUCAGCUAAACAGAAUGAUUGCAUUGAGAUUUUUAUAGGUAAAUGGAUGCAACUUGAAACCAUACUCAUAAAUGAAAUAAAUCAAACUCAUGUAUGUAAAUACCAUAUUGUCUCCCUAAUGUAAGAAAUGGUGAGAGUACAUAAGAUACAAAAUCCUCAAUAAAUAUAGUGAAAGGGUAAGAAUCUGCUCAAAGGGGGAAAAUAAUAUCUCAGGGAAAAGGAGGAAAAAAUAAAAAGGAAGGGAAAAGAAAAAUUAAAUUUAUAUAAACACACAAGAUAGCUAAGAUGACUGUGCUAUAAAUUCUAUUAGUUCUUGGAACAAAAUAGUUAACAAUCAUAAGAUUGGAUCAGUUUUGCAUGUUUGUGUCUGGUGAUCUGAAGAACUCUUUUGAAGAUCAUUAUGUAAAAUAACAACCUUAGUUUCAUUCCUAUGACUUUGUUUUGAAGUUGUAUAUCAUCAUUGUUUUGGGUUCCUUGCUAUUUAUUAUUAUUUGUUAUUUAUUUGUCUUUUUUGUUUCUGUGUUUUUCCAGUAAUUUGUUUUGUUUUGUUUUUCCCUCUAAUGCAGAAAGGAUAGAUGUACAUGUAGAGGCUUAUACAAGCCUAGAACUUUUCCUAAACAAUAUAUUAAAAUUCAUUUGUAUUGUACAUGAUGAUAUGAACAGCUACUUUGAAGAAAAACAGACUGUGGUAUCCAUCACUGAUUUCCUAUCGUCAUACUGUGAAAUCUGGUAAUGAUUUUAUUCUUUGUUCAGGGUGUUUUUAGUCUGUUUUGUAUUAUUUAAUUUCAACAUACCUGAAGGUAUGAACAGCUAUUUUGAAGAGAACAAGAGACAUUACAUUAACCAUUGUUGAUCUUCCUAUUGUCUGGUUUUGAAAGUCUGUAAUGCCUUCAUUAUUCUGUUUUGACCAAUUUAUACUGUUUUGUUUUGUAUGAAUUCAUUGUGUAUGAAGAUAUAGAUAACUAUUUAGAAGAAAACAAGAGACAUUAUGGUAGCCACUGUAGACCUCCUGUUGUCUUACUUUGAAAUUUGUGUCACUUUCAUUAUUUUCUUCUGGUCUGCUUUGUUCUGUUUUUGUUUUACCCUCUUUAAAAUAAAAAAGCAAUAAAUUUAAUCUGAAAUUUUUUUAAAAAAUAAGCUUUAAAAGGGUUGUGAUUAAUAAAAGUCCACUAAAAUAAUUCCUAUAAUAAGUAAAGAUAGAAAUUAAGCAUUUAGAUUUUAAAAAUUUCACUCCCUAGACUUGAUUUCCUUUCGCAUAACUCCCUGUCAAAUUCAGAAUAAAACACAAAACUUUGCCAGAGAAACUCAGAAUAUAAUUUAGCGUUAAAAGUCUUUGUCACCAAAUCCUGAAUUCUGUCCUCCACAGUCUCAAAUUUCUUUCCUUUCACUACCACUUCACAGAAUCUUGAGAAUAAGUGAGGUGGGGUCCAGUUCUAGGCUGAAAGUGUCCACUUUUAGAACGCAGAAUCAUUUAUUCCAGACUGACAGAGAGCAGGAGGAAAGUAGGAUAAGCUUGGCUCAGACAGAGAAUAGUUACUCCAAGUACCCCUGGCGCAUUUGAAUCUGCUGCUGCCCAGAUUUCUUGGGUUUAAUUUUGCAUUCAGAGCAUAAGAGGACUGCACAUAAAAACCUGAAGAUCUGUGUUCACUCAACCCUCUUAAGACCUUGGAGCACUUUCAAUAUUUCUUCAGUCACAUCAGAUGAAGAGAGCGGGCAGAAAGAGGCCUUCUCCUCUACUCUUCACAAAGCCCUGAGUGGUGUUGGCUGUCCAUGCUCCAGGCACUCAGUGACCAUGUCCAGCAGAAAGGCAGAUGGCCUGGUGCCUGCACAGCAGCUCCAGAGAGGCACAGGCAUGGUGGAGUCCUACAUCUCAGGGGAUUCCAACAGUGUCCCAGUUUAUAGCAGUAUGGUUGUAUCUGCAGACACAAUUGUAUUCUACAGAACCAAGAAGCACAAAAAAAUGGUAUCUUUCAUGAUUAUCACCAAGUACUUAUGAGAUACAACCUGAGGGAAGUGUGUGUGUGUGUGUGUGUGUGUGUGUGUGUGUGUGUGUAGGAGGGCAAACUCUAGAGAGGACUCCAUUUCAGAUAUCUCCCUCCCUCUUUUCUAAAACUAUUCUUAAAACUUGUUACUAAAGUGAUAAGUCAUGGUCCUUUCUAAUCUAUUUGACUAAAUGACUCCUAGACCAGUUUUCCUCUUACUUCCCAUGAUAUUUGUAUUAAAUUUAAGCAUCUCUAUUUCCAACUCCAUAGUUUCUAGGCUAAAAAUAAUGUUUAUGAUGUAAAGUCACUAGGAGGAUUAAACAAUAUAAUAGUUGUUAAGAGCUAAGAAUGAUGCUGAGCACACAGGAAGCACUCUUCUGUAUUUCUAUAGUAACUCUGAUAUGAUUCGUGUCUAAAUUCACCUCCCAAAUGACCUCAUUUUCUGCUCCAUGUGUCAUGAGAGAGAUGGAGGCUUCAGCUGAGAUUCACUACUUACUAGCUGUGUGUCACUGGAUAAGUUAACUUCUUGGCAAUUUGAAUUAAUUACACAAAUAUGGAACACACUACAUGCCAGGCACUACAGGCCCAGGAAUAAACAGCUGGAAUGUGGCCCCUGCCUGGAAAACACAUAAUACCUGAGCAGGAAGGGACAGACAACUAAAUAAGUGACUCUAGUGAAGAGCUGUAAGGAUAUUAUUAGAUGACAACUUACUCAACUUGAGUUGGGUCAAUAGUAAGUAGAUUAAUCAAGAGUCACUAUAAUAAAAACAUUGUCUACAUGCCUUAAAUGGUCUAUUUCAAUUUGAAGCAGAGUAGGGGAUACCAGAAAACAGGGAGGAGGAGGGAAAAGUGAUUACACUGGAGUGAACACAGGGUGUUCUCCCAGGGUGAUGAAAAAUUUGAAACUGGAGAGAGAUGAUAGUCGCUUAAUACUGUAAGUGUGCUGAAUAACAUUGAAUUGUAUUCUUUCAAAUAGGAUUGUAUGUGAAUUUUACUUCAACUAAAAGUAUAAAUUUGCAUUAUUUUGCCAAUCUUUUAAUGUAGGGCUAAGAACUAUUUUUUUAGGCUUACAUAUAAUAGUUUGGUAUCUUUCUGAUACCAAACCUAGGCUGUCUAUAAUAUGUAUUCUUCUUCUGAUUUUUCUUUAAAUGAACCAAAGAUUUAUUACUUGCAAAUUUCAGAACACAAUCUGUUUAUAUUUUUAUGGAUUUUUCCAUGAAUAGGUUUAAAUCUAUAUAUAAAUGAGAGACCUUUUUUUUAGCAUUUCCCAUUUAUGUCUUUUUUACAUACUGACAUCCAGAAAAUGGGACAAGAGUCGGUUUGGUGGGAAUGUGAGCUCAGCUUGCAACACUUCCUGUUUGAUUUUAAAGAAGCUGUGAGAUAUUCUCUAAGUAGUUAGACAGGUAACUCUAAAACUGAAUCUUAGAGGCCAAAGAGGCCAAGAGUCCAAAGAAUAUAAAGCAUGCAAUCAGUUUUUACCUACAAGGAGGAUAAUGCUGGUGGCAACAGUUUUAGCACAGUGCCAGGUAGCAGGGGUCAAAGAGAGUCUGGCAGAAUUACUACUGCGUACGAACUCAGAGAACUGGGGGCAAAAGAAAAGACACAUUGGGGAACAUAGUAGCUGGAAGGAGAGAAAGGGAAGAACAUUUAAUGUUGCAGAGAAGUAUCAGUAGAAAGCUGAAGGUUGCAAGUGCAAACAAGAGCGGAGUAAGUCCAGAAUUAGGUGGAGACCCACACUUGUUAAGGGCUGCAGUUGUGAGGGGACACAGAAGUAACAUCACACACAGCACCGCACGCAAGGUGUGCACAUGGCCGCCUUCCUCUCCCCGGCACUCAUGUGUUUACAUGUAAGUGUUGGUCACUUGUUUGAUGAUUUCCUAUUACUAGGUUUUCAGAAGCAGACUUGUAAUGGUACAUUUUUUACACGAGUAAGAAAUCUGCUUCACAUUAAGAAUCGAAAGUGAUAGUGUUUUUUCAUCAACAAGGUACAUUUUAAGUUCUGUUGAAAUUAUGAUAAAAAAGAAUGGCUUUAUGAGCCUCAUUCUGUUUUUGGUGCUGUCUUCUUCACCUUAAAAGUCAAUCUUUUUUUUUUUUUUUUUUUUUUUGUCUUUUUCUUUUUUAUCGGUACUGGGGAUCGAACUCGCGACUGCCUGCUUGCAAGGCAGGCGCUUAUGCCGCUGAGCUAAAUCCCCAGCCCCAAAAGUCAAUCUUGUAAUUGUUAUAGGGUUGUCUAGGCACUAUUCAAAGGGAACUACAUACAUUUGAUUCAUCACACGUAGAUUUGUGUUCUAAAAGUUCACCAUCCAAGAAAGACACACUGAUGCAGGCAUUGUGCGAAAGAUUCACCAAGUGCAGACAAGAAUUAUCAAAAUUACCUCAAAUGUGAAGAGUAAUUGUUUUUCUGCUUGUCCUCUCUGUCAUAAUCUAUUUCCUCCCCCGUUCCAGAGCAUAGUAAGCAGUGACAGCUCUGAGAAAGGCACUUGCCAUCAGUUGCUUGCCAGUCUGACUUCUUUCCUGUUUCCCUCUUGGCUCACCCUUACUGUAUUGCCUUGCUAUUAUCCAGUGCUGCUGCAGGCCCCAGACUAAUCCUGCCUGUAAUAGGCAGGGGUGAUGGGUGACACUGGUUGGAAGAGCUUAUUGGAUCUAUUGUAGCUGGUCAGCCUGAGAUAUGUUUGGAAACUACAGGCCCUGCCCAUGCUGUUUGGACCGCAGGACACCAUUUGCUGUCAGUUUGUCACUGGAAUCUUCAGGUACUGUGCACCCCUGGCCAGAUCUCCUCCCGUCACUCUGACUUCAGCUGUCCCAUGAGUGUCUGCCCUCCUUGGCUUUAAAAAGCAGACCAGCUAGAAUUCGGGAACUAACCCAUCCUUGCAUGCCUGAUUCCUGCUAAGAUAAGAGUAACAUUAAUGGUAACAAACACUAAGUUUACAUUAUGCAUUUAAUUGUUGGCCUUUACAUUCUCAGCCAUGGCACAAGACCUGCUCUAAUUCACUUCUUGAUAUGAUCUGAUGGCCAACACAUUGAGCAUGUUAUCUUCAGCAUAAAAAUGAAUAUCCAAUCUACUCCACACAGCCUAAAAGAGAGGGCAAACUCUCCUCCCAUUGGACACCCCACCCAUUUGUCUAGUUUUUUGUUGUUGUUCUUCCUAAGUCUGAUCUUAAUUUGUUUUAUUAUUGUUCAGCCAUCAGAAGAAGAGAAGUAAAUUUGAAAGAUUCUUAGCAGCUCCCUCCCAGCAUUAGCUUCAUUGCUUAACAUGAACGUUUGAUCUGGAAAGAAGUUUUUUUGAUUAUUUUCAGACUGCAGUCACUCAUGCUCUCUCUCUUGUGGUGAACUACCUGAGAGUUAAUUAUCAUCAAAUAUCCAACUGCCCAGGGUAAAUUACAAGUUAUUCCAGGUGUCUGAUGAAUAAUACUAAUGCAGUGUAUUUUACUCUUCCAUCUGAAAGUAAUCAGCUAGUAAAAAUUAUGGAUCGGUACUUAUAAUGUUUUGUUUUAAGGCAGCUGUACUAUUUAUAUUUAAAAUUUUAUUUUUCCAUUCAUAUUUCCUGUGAUGAAUCACACAAUCAUGUCCUUUGCCCAUUUAUACAUUGGGGAUAUUGAUAGUGUUUAUAUGUGUGUUUGACUACAUUUUCAUAUACUAGAUAUAACUGUUUUCCACUUAUCAUAAUUUUUAAAAUUUUUGGCCAGGGAUUUAGUGGCCAGGGAUUUCAGUGGCAUAAGUGCCUGCCUGGUAAGUGUGAGGUCAUGAGUUCAAUCCCUGGUACCAAAAAAAAAAAAAAAUUAAAAUUUUUAUUGUUACAUUUAAUUGCUUAGAAUUUAAAAGUUUAUAUAACUAUAUUUUACUGUUUUAUUUUUUAAUUUCUCCUUUUGCUCCAAUUGUAGGCAAAGCAUCAGUUCAAAGUGAGACCAAGAGCCCUAUUUUUCUUUCCAUUCCAUUCUCCAUCACCCCUGAGAACUUACUCUACUAUUCCCUGAACCCCAAAGCCCAACCCCAAUAACUCUUCCUCACAUUAUUUUCACAAAGAGUGCACACUUGUGUUAUGACUUCAAGUAGGCAGUUUACUGUCCACCUGUUUAUCCUGUAUUUUGAACUAAUGCCUUUCUUUUCUGUUGCUUAAGGGAUCUAUGGCUUACACCAUUCAACUCCAAAUUCAUGUAUUUAUCCUUUUACUCACAUACCGCUUAUUCAUUCACUUAGUAUAUGUGGUACACAGACUGUAGUGGACUCCGAUGAUCCCUGCUUCUUGGUGCUCACUGUUGGGUGCGGGCAGGACCUUGCGGUCUGCUUGGAACCCACGCGACUACAGUAAGAGUGGUGCGGUGUCCUUCCUGUGUUUGUAUGAGAUAAUGGAAGACUGCUUUGCUACCAGACCCACCUAGAGACUCCUUGUUCACUUGUAAAUGAGCUUGUUGUGGAAGCACAAGUGGUGAGGACUUUUGAGCUGACUUCAACCAGUAGCCAGGAGAAGGCUUGAUCCUCCAUUCUUACUGCAAGAGGAAAUAGGUUUUGCUGAGAACUUGAGUGAGCUUGGAAGACAUUUCUUCCCCAGUCAUGCCUCCAGGUAAGCAUCCAGCCCAGGAAGCAUCUUUCCUGCACCCUUGUAAUGCAAGAGAUAUGUCUAAGCUGUGCCUCAACCUACAGGAAGUGUGAGGCCAUAAGUGGAUUAAAACCACUAAGGAUGCAGUAAUUUGCUUUGCAUAAAUUAAAAACAAAUAUAUGAUCCUAUACUAAACAUCAUACACACAUUGUAACUGUGUUUGAAAUAACCCCUUUAACCUGAUACUAUCCCUGUUUUACAGAUAAAGAAUCGGAGGCUCAGGAAUUGAUCUCCAGAACACUCUGCUCUUUAUCACUGUGUUAUCAUGACAUGUUUUAUUUUAAUGAAUUUUGUUAUUCUAUAGUUUCAAGUCAUUUAGAAUAUAUCUCCUGAAACAUAACAAAUACAUGCAAAGCUGAAUUUAUUUCUAUAAAUUCAACAUUAUGAAGAACUUUCCUAUGACAAUUUCCCAGAAUUGUUUCAUACUGUAUUUUUUACUAUAUGUCUCUUAGAAAUAAUAUUAGACACAUACGUAGAAUAUUUCUCUUUUGUGUUGAAAGUGAUAGACAUGAACUUUUCAGAGGGGAAAACAGUCAUGGAGAGUAUGGGCCCCAACCACACGCUUGGGAAGUCAUCUGGAAUCAAAAACCUUCAGAUGCUAAUUAUUCAUACCAAUUGAUUGAGGAUUUUGGAGUCAGAGACUCACCUGCAGUAUUUGAAAUACCAGUGGAACUCUACAUCAACACAGAAUUUAUACAGCAGCUGGUGCUAGUCAGAGCUAAUGAUGGAAUUUCAGCUUAAUAAAAAGACCCCCAACUGAGCACACUAUCUUGAAAAAAGUACACUUAUCAAACAGCUUUCAGUCAGUUCAAGAGAGACAUCUUAAUUGGGAAAAGAAAGAAUGGCAGAGGAGUUUGUCAUCGUGCCAAUUCCAGAUCAAUAACUGCAUGUCUGCUCUUUGGUAGACAGAGCUUUUGCUUUGUAUUAAGUAAUCACAUCUACAUCCUCUCCAUUUGGAGAAGGAGAGUUUUGUUUCAUAUAAUGGUGUGUAAUGAUGUCCUCUUUUAAUUCACCUCUGUGUCUUCAUAGCAAACAUGAAAUUUAAGAUGUAAUUAUAAAGGUCAAUAUUAUCUUUAUUAUUUGAUUGAAUUUUUUGUUUCUUGUAACAGGAGCAUAGUGCUUUCAAAUCUUUACAUGUUUGAAAAUUGUUUUGUUGAAAUAAAACUGUAUGAGCAACAUUAAAUUAUAGUCAUUUCACUAACAGAAGAAAAUUCUGAACAAUGAUAAUCUGAUUGAGAUAAGCUUAUUUUGGGAAAAAACUUUACAGGACAAUCUACUAACAAGAAAGUAACCAACAAGAAGAGAAGCUUUACUUUUGGUGGGAAGAAUUUGGAAUCCGAAACAAGAAGGCACAAUUUCUAAGGCCCAGUUUGUCUGUUUGUUAGAAGGAAGUCACUACUCAACCCAUUUUCAGUCAGGAGGAUCAUUGUGAGUUUGAGUCCAGCCCAGGCUACAAAGUGAGCUUGAGACUAGCCUGAACUACAUAGUGAGACCCAGUCUCAAAUGCACAAAGACACACACACACACACACACACACGCACGCACACAUGCACACACGAAGAGAGAGAUAGAAAAAAGAAAGAAAGAAAGAAAACCAUACACAUAAGCUCCUAGUUACAGAUCUUUGCUAUUAAGCAAAAGACUCGCCUUGUGCCCCUGGACAUGCACUGCAGGACUGGCAUUAGACCCAGUCAGAUGUCCUCUCCGUCCAAACAGGUAGGAUGUGGAAGUCUGCUCAAUUUAAGGACCAAGUGGUGGGGAUCUAAAAUGUAUUAGCUCCUCGUCUUGCUCACAAUGGGUUGACUAGAGUAUGAAAAUAGCUUGCACAGGUAACAAAGUCUGCAUUUAACAAAAAGCAAUUCCUUCGUUGCUACAGAGACUACUCAGUGUUGAAAACAUUCUCAACUUCUUUGGGUCUGCUUUGGCAUGAAAGACGGUUUUUGCUUUUCUAGAAGCCCUAAAUGUAUGUUAAUUUCCAUUGCAAAUCUUUUUGAAAGCAGAUUUUCCAGUCCUACCAAUUUGGGGGAGCAAACUUUGGUUAGACAGGUUAUUAGAAUUAUGUUUUAACAGCAUUCAUACUGAAGCCAUUCUCCUAUUCGGAUGUUCAACCAGUGGGCAGAACUCCAAGGCACGUGGGUAACAGGGAGUUUGAAGUUAUUUUCUCCAAGAGCCUGAAGAGUAGGGAUAGAGGGGGUUGGGUUGAUGGAAGGUUCUAUACUUCGCAGUUCCAACAGACACACAGCCAAAGUGGCAGCCUCUUACAGACACUGAGAAGCUUUGCCUCAUGGGUGCCACCCUCUGGGAAGCACCUGCCAGCAGGUGCUGAGAGUUUAAGUCCUCCCUCACAUUUGAUAGGAUAAUGAUGAACCUCUUUCAAUCUAAAGCCUGAAUCAUAGUCAAGAGGCAUUAGUUUGGCAUGUGUCCUUUGCCUUAUAUACUCAAAUGCACAUUUUCAUUGUAUUUAGAGAUUCCUUACACAUGCACUCCAUAUGCACAUCUUUGCAUUGAUGAAUAAAUGGAAUUACAGCAUACAUACUAUUUUUUGUGUGUGUGACUAUUUUUCUUUUAACCUUCCUCGCUUUCCAUCUCCUUUCCUGCUGCCUCUAUCCCCAUGGUAUGCACACUAUUGAAUUAGCAUGUAUCUCCAUAUAUAGUCUAUACAAUGUGUAUGUAGUCCUAGACUUAGAACUUUUGAGCCAUAUUUUAUAAAAACAGAAUUAUAACCCUUCCCCCUGAUUUUCAUCAUCACUAAGAAAUACCUCAGGGAAACCCCUCCGAGUUGAACGGUGGUACAGUUCUUCAUUUUCUACUUUUUCUAUAGCACAGGUUACUAUGGUUCACUUUGUUUUCAGCUUUUUGACAUAUUUGACAAAGCUGUGAUUAACCUUAGACAUGUGUCCCUAUGUGUACUGGGGCUUUGUCUAUGUAAGUAGAUUUCUCAAAAUAUGAAUUCUAAGGCAAAGAAGUGUAAUAAAUUUGAAUUUUAAUAAAUGUUUUAGGUAGUUUUCCAAAACACACUCAGUUCUCAUUUCUACCAGCAAUAGGGAUGGCAUCAUUUUCCCCUGGAUCCAUACCAAGAAGAAUAAUAUUAGUCUUUUAUUUUUGCCAGACCGAGAGGUUUAAGUUUCAUUCUUAUUGUUAUUUUCAUUUUCCUAACUACUAAUGAGUUUAAAUAUCUUUUUGUAAAUUUAAAAGCUGUCUGGUUUUGUUCCUCUGCAAGUUGACUAUUUUUCCUUUGGGUUAUAUGUUAGAAGAGUUUAUAAAUUAAUCUUGUAUUUUUAUUUCAUGUUAAAAUAGUUUUUCUAAAAUGUAUUUCAUUUUGUUAUUAUUUAAAAUACAUAUAUCAUAAUAUAGCUAAAUAUACAGUAUACUGUGAUGCCUUGGUUCACAAAUGCUUUUAUUUGCAAAGAAGUUGAUUUGCAAACAGAAGUGUUUGGCAAAAUUUUGGUUUUGUUUGCAAGCUCUGCACUGGGUGACAAACACAACAGUGGUGGCCAUCCUUCCUGCACAUACAUGAACGUGGCCAUCUUUUCCAAAAUGGUGGAAUGAAUUAAGUUCUUGAACUGAGGUACAUCACUGUACAUCAUUUUUUUCCUGUACCAGGGAUUCAACCCACGAGUGCUUUAACCACUGAACUACAUUCUGAUCCCAUUUUUUAUUUUGAGACAGGGUCUCACUAAGUUGCCUCAGUAGGACUUGAAGUUGUGAUCUUCUUGUCUCAGUUCCCCGGAGUACUGGGAGACACCAUGUGUCACCGUGGCUGGCACAGCUUUGCUUUUAUCUAGUUUCUCCAUUUACUGUUUUAAUUAUGGAGCCUUCCCCAUGUAUCCUCAUUUUUGAAGUAUAUCUUUUUUUUCUUUUGUUUGUGCAGGGAUUAAAUGCAAGGCCUGUGUUCUUAAGCACAUGAUCUACCAUUGAGCUAUAUAUUCAGCCUAAUUCUUCUAUUCUUAUUUUUUAAAUUUUAAAAUGAAAAAAGAAUAAAAAUUAUUAAUCAGAAUUUCAAAACAAAAUAAUAGAUUAACAAUGAUUAUUAUUUCACAUUGUUAGCCUUAAAGUAGUUUCUUAGAAACCGUCAACAGAGUGAGAAGAAACCAUCAACAGAGUGAGAAGGAAAAAUUACUAGCCACCCCUCAGACAAAAGACUUCUAUCUAGAACAUCUGAAAAAUUGGAAGAAAUUAGGCUCCCCAAAUUCAAAGAUUCAAUUCAAAUAUAGACAUCUAAGAUGAAUACAUACUUCUCAGACCAAGAAAUACAAAUGGCAAAUAAAUACAUGAAAAAAUGUUCAACAUCACAGGUCAUUUGAGAAAUAUAAAUUGAAACAACACUAAGAUUUUGUCUCACACCAGAGAGAAUAGAUUUUAUCAAGAAAUAAACCAAUAAUGACUGCUGAUGGGGUUGUGGAGAAAAAAGAACCCUUCUCCACUGUUGGUGGGAGUAUAGACUGGUACAACAACUGUGGAAAUUAGUGUGGAGAUUCCUCAAAAAAGUAGGAUUGGAGGUCCCAUCAAUCAAGCUAUUCUUCUGGGUAUUUUCCAGAAGAAUUGAAAAUAUCAUAUCACAGCAAUAUAUGUGCUCCUAUGUUUAUAGUAGCACAACUUAGAAUAGCCUGAUCUUGGAAACGAGCUAAAUGUCCAUCAACCCAGAAUAGACAAAAAAGUGGUAUUUUUCUACAAUGGAAUGUUACUCAGCUAUAAAGAAGAAUAAACUUACUUAAGGCUUUUAUAGAUAAGUGGAUGCAACUUCAGAUCAUACAGACAAGUAAAAAAAUCACCAUAUUGUCUCCCUAGUGUAAAAAGCAGAAAGAGUAAGUAAUAUUCAAAAUAUACAAUAGCUAUUGUGAAAGUGAAAGGGUGAAGAAACUGCUCAAAAGGAAAGAACAAUUGGGAUGGGGAAAAAGAGAGAAGAAAGAAGGGAAACAAUUUAUAUAUUUAUAUAUGUAUAUGUAUAUGUAUAUGUAUAUGUAUAUGUAUAUGUAUGAUGGACAAUUAUAUCUUUAUAAGUUUUUAAAGUUCCUGAAAUUUUUUGUAUUAUUUUUGGAUAUUUGCCUCAUUUUCAUAUUUUGUAAUUUCAACUUGACUUUUCUAUGCCAUUUAAAAACAAUCAAUACUUGCCUCUGAGUUUGAUUAUCAUCCAUAAAUUCUCAUAUAGGGAUCUA